CACACAGACGGGUCACAGUCAGACAGACAGACGGGUCACAGUCAGACAGACGGACGGGUCACAGUCAGACAGACGGGUUAGUCAGACAGACGGGUUACAGUCCCAGCAGAGUUUUGGCAGCCUGACUCUGAGCCUGAAGAGUCUCGCUGGCGUAACGCUGCAGCAGCUCCAUCUUCUUCCUCCUGACCAGAGCCUCCUCCACCUGAGAGAUCAUUUGCAGGUUAAAAAAACACUAAUUCCCCAUCAGCUCCUGUUUUGUGUCUACUGUCACGCACCAACCGGCAAGACAAAUUCCUUGUACGUUUGACAUAUUUUGGCAAUAAAUGUUUCCUGAUUCCUGAGAAACAGGAUCAUGUGACACAUUGACCCGUGUUUCAAAGACCAUUUUACCCAUUGCAACAAGAAGAGGAACUAGUAACUGCGAUAUCUCGCGGUUUGGGGAUUUUGGUGUCUGUUUGGUUCUGACAUGCAGCAUGUGAACGACGGGCCUCACAGACACCUCACACGUGUGUGUGUGUGUGUGUGUCUCACCUCUUUCUGUGAGGGAACAGGUACGUGUGCGAGGAAGGUGACCUCUUCUCCCUCUUGGUCCUCCCGGAUCUCCUCCUCAUCAGGCUGCGCAGACACAGAAAACAAAAGGAUUCAAUCAUCAGCAACACGUCUGUCCACAGUUCUACUUUCCUCCACAGCUUGUGGGAUGUGAAGGGCAGUUCACCUCCUCCCUGUGGACCUUGUAGAUGCUCUCCUCCUCCUCUUCCUCCUGUGGCUUGUCUCCUGACAGGCGAGCCUCUUUCUCCGUUUUCCACUUCUGCACCGCCUCCACCACAGCUGAUCGACACACAACAAACGACACACGACGUUCGCAUCAUGGCCACAACACCGGAUGGAUUGUCUCAACAAAUAAUUGAUUGGUGUGUGAGGAAUUGUUAUAAUGGGAUAAAGGGUUAAUAUUUAGUGUAUUAUAGAAUCUGAAUUCAUUCAUGACAAAAUAGUCCCACUGUAAAUGUCAUAAAUAUAUAAUUGUAGGUGUAGAAAAAAUAAUCUGAUGUUUAUAUGCGGUUAAUUAUUGUGAAUGUAUAAAUAAUUAUAUAAUUGGACGGUAUGAAUCAUAAAAUGAUCUGAUUGAAUGGACAAUUCAAAUAAUUAAACUGCAUUCAUGAUAAAAUAAUCUAUAGACACAAAUCCAUAAUCGGAAGGCGGAUAUAACAAAUAACCAUAUAAAUAAAGAAUAACCAGACCUUGCUUCUCGUACUGAGCCUCCAGAGGCAGCAGCACUCCGUCGUCUUCGUCUCUGUAGCCGUAAUACUCUGCGUCCACUUCUUUCAUCAGAUCCCCCCUCGUCUUCCUCAGCGCCGGGGCAGCUGGGAGUCACACGAUCAGAGAGGACCAAUCAGACAAGUGCCGACUUGAUGUAAAAACAGGAAGUGAAGACGUAAGGUUACAUACGUUCCUUCUCAAACAGCUCCCUGACCCCGGGCAGGUCUCUGGCCGCGCCAAAGUAUUUGUACCCUCGGUUUCCUGGAACUUCCUUCCCCUCGUGGUCCAACAUCCUCGGACCGACUCGCUGAAAACACAACAAACACGAGCGGGUAAUCGCACAACAUCUCACCAACACGAGGUCAACAACACAAAUAUUUAUUUACCUUGUAGUCCGGUCCUCUCAGCUCUUUGAUCCGGACCUCCCAGUGACCUUUCUCCCUCAACAGCUUGUUGAUCUCAUCGUUUAAGUCCCGAAUCUUGAACUCCCCGAGACCGGCUGCAGACAGACAGGUCGGAGGGAUACAGGUUAGAGACAGACAGCGUGUCUGGGAUCUCUCACAGUUUAUCAAUAUUUGUUGAGUUAUUUUUUUUUAAUAAAUACUCACCAUUCUGGA